rnacentral:lncRNA from 1 species
AAAUAACAUAAUAAAUGGCACGUAUUUCUGUUAUUUCUGGAAAAUAUAUCUGUAUAACCGUAUUUAUCAUUAAAUAUGGACAUAUAUAUCAUACCAGAAACUGAAACGAAAACAACCUUUAUUCAAAUGACAAAUAAAAAUUUAUAACUUGGGCCAUCAAAAUAGGGGUAAGAUCUGAGGGAGAAAUCCAGACCAAGAAGGGUCACCUUGAGGUCCAGACCAUCUGUCUUUGGACUGAUGGGGGAAGGAGUUCAACAACAAUAUAAAAGACCUGUUGAACAAAGGUUCAGGAUCAUCUUCCUAACCUUCCUGUCAUUUGUUAUCAUCUCCUUCAGAGUUCAUCCAUCCUUCACUGCCAAAUCUUCUUUAUUGUUUGUUCAUCCAUAUUCACUGUCUAUCACCAGCAAGAUACCUUCACCUUCACCUUCUCUUGAAACUCCAGUGUCAUCAUCAUUCUUUGUUUCCUUUCUUGCCAUCUUCAAACUUGUCCUGUACAUGUAUGCCAGAAAUCAAUGUCAUCAGUAGACUAUCAAUUAUCUUAUCAAUGUCAAGACUUCAAUAAUAACGUAUUUAUCCUCCCAAAAUAUAUGUUAAAUAAUCAAUAUGUAAACGAAUGUAAAGAAGUCUCUCUGAACAUAAAUUGUUAUUGUUAACUUGUGUAAUCUGACUUAUUGUGUCUUUUGGAUCUCCUGCCCCAUACUUAUCAUGCCAGUACCACAUUUCUUCAACCAGAAACAACUGUGUUGCUGAGUCACACAAAAACUCAGCUGGUGUCAGAAAUCCUGAUUAAGGC